GGGUUGUGAGGUUAAGCGACUAAGCGUACACGGUGGAUGCCCUGGCAGUCAGAGGCGAUGAAGGACGUGCUAAUCUGCGAAAAGCGUCGGUAAGGUGAUAUGAACCGUUACAGCCGGCGAUGUCCGAAUGGGGAAACCCAGUGCAAUUCGUUGCACUAUCGUUAACUGAAUACAUAGGUUAACGAGGCGAACCGGGGGAACUGAAACAUCUAAGUACCCCGAGGAAAAGAAAUCAACCGAGAUUCCCCCAGUAGCGGCGAGCGAACGGGGAGCAGCCCAGAGUCUGAAUCAGCUUGUGUGUUAGUGGAACGGUCUGGAAAGUCCGACGGUACAGGGUGAUAGUCCCGUACACCAAAAUGCACAGGCUGUGAACUCGAAGAGUAGGGCGGGACACGUGGUAUCCUGUCUGAAUAUGGGGGGACCAUCCUCCAAGGCUAAAUACUCCUGACUGACCGAUAGUGAACCAGUACCGUGAGGGAAAGGCGAAAAGAACCCCGGCGAGGGGAGUGAAAAAGAACCUGAAACCGUGUACGUACAAGCAGUGGGAGCACCUUCGGGUGUGACUGCGUACCUUUUGUAUAAUGGGUCAGCGACUUAUAUUCUGUAGCAAGGUUAACCGUAUAGGGGAGCCGCAGGGGAAACCGAGUCUUAACUGGGCGUUAAGUUGCAGGGUAUAGACCCGAAACCCGGUGAUCUAGCCAUGGGCAGGUUGAAGGUUGGGUAACACUAACUGGAGGACCGAACCGACUAAUGUUGAAAAAUUAGCGGAUGACUUGUGGCUGGGGGUGAAAGGCCAAUCAAACCGGGAGAUAGCUGGUUCUCCCCGAAAGCUAUUUAGGUAGCGCCUCGUGAAUUCAUCUUCGGGGGUAGAGCACUGUUUCGGCUAGGGGGUCAUCCCGACUUACCAACCCGAUGCAAACUGCGAAUACCGAAGAAUGUUAUCACGGGAGACACACGGCGGGUGCUAACGUCCGUCGUGAAGAGGGAAACAACCCAGACCGCCAGCUAAGGUCCCAAAGUCAUGGUUAAGUGGGAAACGAUGUGGGAAGGCACAGACAGCCAGGAUGUUGGCUUAGAAGCAGCCAUCAUUUAAAGAAAGCGUAAUAGCUCACUGGUCGAGUCGGCCUGCGCGGAAGAUGUAACGGGGCUAAACCAUGCACCGAAGCUGCGGCAGCGACACUAUGUGUUGUUGGGUAGGGGAGCGUUCUGUAAGCCUGCGAAGGUGUGCUGUGAGGCAUGCUGGAGGUAUCAGAAGUGCGAAUGCUGACAUAAGUAACGAUAAAGCGGGUGAAAAGCCCGCUCGCCGGAAGACCAAGGGUUCCUGUCCAACGUUAAUCGGGGCAGGGUGAGUCGACCCCUAAGGCGAGGCCGAAAGGCGUAGUCGAUGGGAAACAGGUUAAUAUUCCUGUACUUGGUGUUACUGCGAAGGGGGGACGGAGAAGGCUAUGUUAGCCGGGCGACGGUUGUCCCGGUUUAAGCAUGUAGGCUGGUUGUCCAGGCAAAUCCGGAUAAUCAAGGCUGAGGUGUGAUGACGAGGCACUACGGUGCUGAAGUAACAAAUGCCCUGCUUCCAGGAAAAGCCUCUAAGCAUCAGGUAACAUUAAAUCGUACCCCAAACCGACACAGGUGGUCAGGUAGAGAAUACCAAGGCGCUUGAGAGAACUCGGGUGAAGGAACUAGGCAAAAUGGUGCCGUAACUUCGGGAGAAGGCACGCUGGUGUGUAGGUGAAGUCCCUGCGGAUGGAGCUGAGACCAGUCGAAGAUACCAGCUGGCUGCAACUGUUUAUUAAAAAACACAGCACUGUGCAAACACGAAAGUGGACGUAUACGGUGUGACGCCUGCCCGGUGCCGGAAGGUUAAUUGAUGGGGUUAUCCGUAAGGAGAAGCUCUUGAUCGAAGCCCCGGUAAACGGCGGCCGUAACUAUAACGGUCCUAAGGUAGCGAAAUUCCUUGUCGGGUAAGUUCCGACCUGCACGAAUGGCGUAAUGAUGGCCAGGCUGUCUCCACCCGAGACUCAGUGAAAUUGAACUCGCUGUGAAGAUGCAGUGUACCCGCGGCAAGACGGAAAGACCCCGUGAACCUUUACUAUAGCUUGACACUGAACAUUGAGCCUUGAUGUGUAGGAUAGGUGGGAGGCUUUGAAGCGUGGACGCCAGUCUGCGUGGAGCCAACCUUGAAAUACCACCCUUUAAUGUUUGAUGUUCUAACGUUGGCCCUUACCGGGGUUGCGGACAGUGUCUGGUGGGUAGUUUGACUGGGGCGGUCUCCUCCCAAAGCGUAACGGAGGAGCACGAAGGUUAGCUAAUCCUGGUCGGACAUCAGGAGGUUAGUGCAAUGGCAUAAGCUAGCUUGACUGCGAGCGUGACGGCGCGAGCAGGUGCGAAAGCAGGUCAUAGUGAUCCGGUGGUUCUGAAUGGAAGGGCCAUCGCUCAACGGAUAAAAGGUACUCCGGGGAUAACAGGCUGAUACCGCCCAAGAGUUCAUAUCGACGGCGGUGUUUGGCACCUCGAUGUCGGCUCAUCACAUCCUGGGGCUGAAGUAGGUCCCAAGGGUAUGGCUGUUCGCCAUUUAAAGUGGUACGCGAGCUGGGUUUAGAACGUCGUGAGACAGUUCGGUCCCUAUCUGCCGUGGGCGCUGGAGAAUUGAGGGGGGCUGCUCCUAGUACGAGAGGACCGGAGUGGACGCAUCACUGGUGUUCGGGUUGUCAUGCCAAUGGCACUGCCCGGUAGCUAAAUGCGGAAGAGAUAAGUGCUGAAAGCAUCUAAGCACGAAACUUGCCCCGAGAUGAGUUCUCCCUGAGACUUUAAGUCUCCUGAAGGAACGUUAAAGACGAUGACGUUGAUAGGCCGGGUGUGUAAGCGCAGCGAUGCGUUGAGCUAACCGGUACUAAUGAACCGUGAGGCUUAACCUUACAACGCCGAAG
rnacentral:rRNA from 1 species